GACGAACCGUGCGAACGUUAUUCGGAAUCACUGGGCUUGAAGGGCGCGUAGGCGGGUGUCAAAGUCAGGGGUGAAAGCCCACGGCCCAACCGUGGAAGUGCCUUUGAUACUGGACACCUCGAGGGGGGUAGGGGCGUGCGGAACUCAGGGUGGAGCGGUGAAAUGCGUAGAUAUCCUGAGGAACACCGGUGGCGAAAGCGGCGCGCUGGACCCCUUCUGACGCUGAGGCGCGAAAGCCAGGGGAGCAAACGGG
rnacentral:rRNA from 1 species